GUAAAUAUUUGUUGAGUAAAUAAAUAAAUAAGCUCUUUUAGUUUGCUGGGUAUGCCACAACAAAAUACCAUAGACUGGAAUGCUGAAGGAACAGAAAUUCAUUUUCUCACAGAGAAGAAAUUCAGUAAACACAAUGCAUUUUAAUUGGGAAAAAAAUCAAGAAAUUACUUCAAAUGCCAGUAUUUGUACAAGAAAACUUGUUAAGAGUCUGCAGCAGUUCUCCUGAGAGCCCUUUACAAGCAUAUGGAGCAAGCCAUCCUUAGAGAAAGUGUGAAGAAGGAAGGGUAGCAGAGAAGAGGGGAAAAUGGGAACAAACCUCUGGAGCAUCUACACCCAAGGGCAGCCUUCAGACUUUAAAACCUAAUUAUAUAGACAGGCUUAGUAAAAACUUUUCAUAAAGUAUCAUAAAAGAGAAGCAGAAUCCUGCAGUGGAGGAAAGCAGAUGCCAGAAGAAAGUGGCCCUGUGCCCGAGUACCUGCCCGCCACACCCACCUGUGAUCUGGACAAGUUAUGUAACCUUUCAGAACCUAUUUCUUCUUCUGUAGACAAAUAGUAAUUGGAGAUUAAAAGAAAUAAGGUAAGAAGAGAGCUUUGCACAGUGGCUAGAGAACAAUAAAUAUUCAGUACAUGGCAGUGAAAAAGAAGGAAAUGAAUGAAACAUGCUAAAUAUGUGAUUGUCUCAUGUUAAUUUAUGAUUACAGAUCUAUGGUUCAUUGUCACAUAGUUAACUACUGGUUCAGAGCAGGAGAUAUAACAUGGAAUCAUCAUCAUCUUCUUGUUCAUUAUCAUUAGCAACCUUGUGUAAUUUAUAUUCAUUGAAGAUUUAUACUGAGAGACGAUAUACUUGAAGUUUUAUACACAUGAUCUCAUUUAAUGCCCCCACUACGCACAUACACACACACACACAUACACUUUAUGAGGUAGGU
rnacentral:lncRNA from 1 species